rnacentral:rRNA from 1 species
CUUAGUUUGUUUUCUCUAGCGAUACUGCCGUAUAACGUGGAGAGGUGGGGAUGACGUCAAGUCAGCAUGGCCCUUACAUCCUGGGCUACACACACGCUACAAUGGGUGAUACAACAGGUUGCAAUAGAGUAAUCUGGAGCCAAUCCCUAAAAUCAUCCUCAGUACGGAUUGCAGGCUGCAACUGCCUGCAUGAAGUUGGAGUUGCUAGUAAACGCAGGUCAGCACACUGCGUUGAAUACGUUCUCGGGCCUU